AUUUGGCAAAUUUUAUAUUCGAUUGUUUAUCAAAAACAUUUCUUUUUGUUUUUAUUUGAAGUAUAACCUGCCCACUGAUAAAUUUAAAUGGCCGCGGUAUUUUGACCGUGCAAAGGUAGCAUAAUCAUUAGUCUUUUAAUUGGGGACUGGAAUGAAUGGUUGAACGAAAUAUAUACUUUAUUUAUUUUAUUUUGUAUUGAAUUUAAUUAUUGAGUUAAAAGGCUUAAAUGUUGUUAUGGGACGAGAAGACCCUAUAGAGUUUAAUAUUAUAAUUGAUAUUAGUAGUUAUUAAUUUUUAUUAUUAGUUUUAGUUUUUGGUUGGGGUGAUUAUAAGAUAUAUAUAACUCUUUUUAUUUGAUGAUAUUAAUUUAUAGAUUUUUGAUCCUUUAUAUUGAUUAUAAGACUAAAUUACCUUAGGGAUAACAGCGUUAUCUUUUUUGAGAGUUCUCAUCGACAAUAAGGAUUGCGACCUCGAUGUUGGAUUAAGAUUAAUUUUGGGUGAAGAAUUUCAAUAAAUUAAGUCUGUUCGACUUUUAAAAUCUUACAUGAUCUGAGUUCAAACCGGUGUAAGCCAGGUUGGUUUCUAUCUAUAAUUGAUUAAAUACUUUAGUACGAGAGGACCAAGUAUU
rnacentral:rRNA from 1 species